rnacentral:tRNA from 3 species
GAAAGCACCGGUCUUGAAAACCGGCAUACGUUAAUAGCGUAUCUAGGGUUCAAAUCCCUAUCUCUCCGCCA